CUGGCUCAGGACGAACGCUGGCGGCGUGCCUAAUACAUGCAAGUCGAACGGUCUUUUCUAUGGAAGCUUGCUUCCACUGAAAAGAUAGUGGCGAACGGGUGAGUAACACGUGGGUAACCUGCCCAUAAGAGGGGGGAUAACAUCCGGAAACGGGUGCUAAUACCGCAUAGUUUUCUUGAUCGCAUGAUCGGGAAAGGAAAGACGGCCUUUGUGCUGUCGCUUAUGGAUGGACCCGCGGCGUAUUAGUUAGUUGGUGAGGUAACGGCUCACCAAGACGAUGAUACGUAGCCGACCUGAGAGGGUGAUCGGCCACAUUGGGACUGAGACACGGCCCAAACUCCUACGGGAGGCAGCAGUAGGGAAUCUUCCGCAAUGGACGAAAGUCUGACGGAGCAACGCCGCGUGAGUGAAGAAAGGUUUUCGGAUCGUAAAACUCUGUUGUCAGAGAAGAACAAGUUGGAGAGUAACUGCUCCAGCCUUGACGGUAUCUGACCAGAAAGCCACGGCUAACUACGUGCCAGCAGCCGC
rnacentral:rRNA from 1 species